rnacentral:lncRNA from 1 species
AAUGUUGAAAUAUAUUCUGCAUUCAAUAUUGAGCUAUGUGAUGUUUUUAUACAGGAGAAUGUUAUAAUUAGAGGCUCUUUUAAAAGAAGGAAUGUUUGCAGCAACAAAAAUGCCUUGAAACGGAGAAAGAUUGAAUGCUUCAAGGCUACAUCAAGUUGAAAGUUACAACAAGAGCUCUCAAAGAAGAAGCCAUUUCGCAAACCUGGAAAAUCAGAUGGACUGAAUCGCCGGACAUAUUCUUCUAGAACGAGUAACAUGUCAGUAAACUUGAUAAGGUCUUUAUGCUGGAUAAUAAAAAAUGUCUACAUCACAGUCUUUAAGCAGGUGGCACCUCCAGAUCACACAUGCAUUAGGACCUGGAUCUACCCUCAAAAUGCAGCACUUAAAACACAGGGAACCAAAAGCAAGAUGAUUACAGUCUGCCUCAAGCACCGAGAGACCAACAAUAGACCUGUAUUUUCAUUCUGUAUUCGGGAAAGAUUAAGGAGCAGGAGAGAGACGAGGUGGGGCCUACAUGGUCUCUGAGGCUUCUUGAUUCCUCUUCUUACCACAGAUCCUCUAAUUCUUUUUAAAAAGCAUUUAUUUUCACAUUUGUAUAAGAUUUCCUUGAAUAAAAGAUUUUACAGCUUAAGAAAGAGGGCUGGUUUCCAAGUUCAGUUAUUUUCUUUCCCCCCAAC